rnacentral:ncRNA from 2 species
CAAUAUUAUUUUGUUAUUGGUGCCCUUAAAUAAGGGAGAAUAGGGAACUGGGUGAGAAUCCCAGACGGACCCACCACUGUAAAGAGGAGACUUAUGCAUUGCCACUGGAAAACCGGGAAGGCGCAUAAAGUCAAUGAUUCUGAGUCAGGAGACCUGCCAGUAACCUAAGUAAGUC